CUACGGGACGCUGCAGUAAGGAAUAUUGGGCAAUGGACGCAAGUCUGACCCAGCCAUGCCGCGUGCAGGAUGACAGCCCUACGGGUUGUAAACUGCUUUUAUACGGGAAAAAACCCCUGCACGAGUUGCGGGGUUGAUGGUACCGUAAGAAUAAGCAUCGGCUAACGCCGUGCCAGCAGCCGCGGUAAUACGGAGGAUGCAAGCGUUAUCCGGAUUCAUUGGGUUUAAAGGGUGCGUAGGCGGAAUGAUAAGUCAGUGGUGAAAUCCUACAGCUUAACUGUAGAACUGCCAUUGAUACUGUUGUUCUUGAGUACAUUUGAAGUGGGCGGAAUGUGUCAUGUAGCGGUGAAAUGCAUAGAGAUGACACAGAACACCGAUCGCGUAGGCAGCUCACUAAACUGUAACUGACGCUGAGGCACGAAAGCGUGGGGAUCAAACAGGAUUAGAUACCCCCGUAGUC
rnacentral:rRNA from 1 species